rnacentral:misc_RNA from 1 species
GUGAAUCAUCAAAUUUUUGAACGCAAAUUGCACUCUCCGCGGAGAGUAUGGGUGUUUGAGGGUCAGCCUAUAAAAAAUCGACAUCGUUUCUGUGUCACGGUGACGUUCGUCGGAAAUUGUGCCAGCUUAAAGCUUUUGGGUUUAAGCGACUUGGAAUUUUGUUUUUGAUGCCAUGAACGAGUUGCUAAGAUUUAUUUCUUUACACGUUUAAGGUAUCGAUUUUUAUUAGACGUG